GAUGACGGGCCAUACCACCCUGAACACGCCCUAUCUCGUCAGAUCUUGGAAGCUAAGCAGGGUCGGGCCUGGUUGCUACUUGGAUGGGAGACCGCCUGGGAAUACCAAGUGCUGUAAGUG
ensembl:rRNA 5S_rRNA 5S ribosomal RNA